rnacentral:lncRNA from 1 species
AGUGUGCCCCGGACGCAGUGUCCUAGCGCUCGAUCGGGUCAUCCUCUGCAGCCCAGAUUGUCCCUGUCCAAGACUGCGGAAUGAAGAAUCCAGCUUUGAGAACCUGUGUGUAAGUCCUCUCUGGUCAGCAAAGGAAUCUGUGCAGAGCGCCAUGAAUUAGAGGAUGGGGGAAUGAGUGCUUGAAGAUGCCCGAGGUCCAGGUGAGAAAUCAGGGUUGAAAACUGCAUGGAGGAUUCAUCAUUUCUGCCCUGAAUUGGAAUCAAUUCCUUAUUGACUUCUUAUUACUGUAUUAAAAGUGUUUUUAAUUAA